rnacentral:lncRNA from 1 species
GUCAAUCAGUUCUUAAUGUAAGUUGAAAUGACUACUAUGUGUCCUGUUCCCAGCUGAGACAAGUACUGAUAAUGAUGACUCACUGGAAAAAAAGUUUCUAAUGAUAGAACAGUAUCUUGGGAGACAGAAAGUGAUGAAUUGCAAGAACAAGACUAUGAAUUAUGAGUGAAAAUCACUGCAGAUGUAGCAAGGUACAAGAUCAGGUCUGCACACAACCUGUAAGAACAGCCACUUCAAGAAAAGUCAUGAGUGUGGGUCAACCAAAUUGUAAGAUUUAACAGAACUGCUUGCUUGGGAAAGCUCUACUUCUGAAAGGAAGGCAUGAAUUUUUGACAACAGAAUUAAAUAACACUUCAGUACUGCUCCUCCUACGUCACUGUUAGCGAUUCAUUUUGAUGUGGCAUAAAUCACUUAUAUAUACCUACAUAUUAU